rnacentral:rRNA from 1 species
UACGGAGGAUGCGAGCGUUAUCCGGAUUUAUUGGUUUAAAGGGUGCGUAGGCGGGAUGCCAAGUCAGCGGUAAAAAUGCGGUGCUCAACGCCGUCGAGCCGUUGAAACUGGCGUUCUUGAGUGGGCGAGAAGUAUGCGGAAUGCGUGGUGUAGCGGUGAAAUGCAUAGAUAUCACGCAGAACUCCGAUUGCGAAGGCAGCAUACCGGCGCCCUACUGACGCUGAGGCACGAAAGCGUGGGUAUCGAACAGG